rnacentral:lncRNA from 1 species
UUUUUUUUUUUUUUUAAUUAUUAAAAACAUGGUUGAGGAGCUCCGGUGUGGCUCAGUCAGUUAAAAGUGUCUGCCUUCAGCUCCGGUUGUGAUCCCAGGGUCCUGGGAUGGAGCCCUGCACCCUACUCAAUGGGGGGCCUGGUUCUCCCUCUCUCUCUGGUCCUCCCCCCUGCCCAUUCUCUCGCUCUCUCUCUCUCAUCAUAAAUAAAUAAAUAAAUAAAUAAAGUAUUAAAAAAAAGAUGGUUGAAGGAAAUGUGGAUAACAAGGAACCUGGCUUUCUAGUCUGUCUCUAAUGACUUUGUAUAAGAUGCUUAAGUCCCCAGGGAGCCAAGCCUGUUACCCAUCUCUGAACCCCAGGUUCAGGCUCACUGAAAAACAAACAAACAAACAAACAAACAAACAAACAAAUACAUAAUUUUUAAAAAGAUAAGAUUGCAUUUUAAAAUAAGGAGUAAGAGGGAUCCCUGGGUGGCGCAGCGGUUUGGCGCCUGCCUUUGGCCUAGGGCGCGAUCCUGGAGACCCGGUAUCGAAUCCCACAUCGGGCUCCCGGUGCAUGGAGCCUGCUUCUCCCUCUGCCUGUGUCUCUGCCUCUCUUUCUCUCUCUGUGUGACUAUCAUAAAAAAAAAAAAAAAAAAAAAUUAAAAUAAGGAAUAAGAAUACUAAUAACAUCUUUGGGUUGAGCAUGAGCAUUUAUGGGAUUCCAAGCCCUCAUUAAUAACAGUUUCUAUUGCUUCCCUCAUUUUAUCCUCAUAAUUUGAGAUGAAGUUACUAAUAUAGAUGAGGCCACUGUGCUAGAUGCGAAACUGAGGCCCAGAGAGGAUAUGUGAUUUUUUUCUCAAAGUCAACAGUUAGUAAAAUGAAGAUCCUGACCCUCCCCACCCCGGUGCUUCUCACCUCCAAGUACUUAUAACCAUCUCCUAGCCCCCUUGAGCCUCAGCUGCAGUUGAAGCAGCAAACAUCCCCCUUACUUUCUUGCUGGUGGAGUAUAUUUCUGGACCAACUCAGACUUCAAUUAUUCAUUUGGCCAUUUCUGUGUAUCAUUCUCUUCUCCCACUUCUAUAAAUAAAGUCUGGCUCGGCAAAAGCCAGAGCUCGUAGUGUCAUAGCCGUAGGACAUGCCAUCUGAUUAUCUUCUGUGGGUGUUUAUAGAUUUCAAGUUAUUCCUGUGUCCCUAAUUCAUCAUCACAGACACUCUGAAUUUAGAAUCUGGUGUCUCUCAGGUCUUCUGUUGCCUAUAGUGACCUUCCAGACGAUACUCUGUCUUCUUUUUCUAGAUAGCUCAUCUCUACUCCACAAAGCUACUAUGAAAAUAAGUGAGAUAAUACAUGUGAAAGUGUCUUAAAAAACUUAACAUCCUUAAUUUCCUUGUCACUAAUUUCACUAAUGUGAACAGGAUUGAACUAGAUACCUUCUAAAGUUCCUGCAGGUCACUGAUUCCAUUAUCUGUGAUUUAUUAACUAGCUAUUGAGUGCAAGGUAUUCUGAUAUCAGACCCCAGGUAUCUUGGUUUAUUCCAGAGGCAGGCUCUAGCAGGCAUUGUAUAACCUGAAGGGAGGCUUGAAUCCACUCAGAGGAAUUCGAAUGAUUCUUUACAUUAACUUAUCCUCAAACUGGUGCUUACAUUGUGGUAUUUGUCAUGAGAUCUUCCCGUUUUCUUCAAAUCAUGUAAAAUACAUACAUAAUUGUAGGUUAACAUUUAACAAGUCAGACCACUGCUCGAAAUUAUAUAUGACAGAAAUUCUAUCUCCUUGCUAAGUCUGACCUUGACCUGUUGCCUCAUUUAUUUUCAAUGUGGCUUAUAAUUGAAUGUUGAACAAGAGCCUUUUCAGCUGAUCUGAUCCCAAACUGAACAUUUUCAAUUCAAGCGCUAAAUCUUGAGCAUGAAAUGACAGCAACUACGUUCAUAAUUUGAGUGAUUGGGGUUUGAAAAAAAAAAAAAAAGUUGAGUGUUUUCUCCUAAUGUCUGCUCUUCUAGUUAGGGUUUCAGUACUUGGUUAUGUGCAUUUGAAAUUGUCCUGUUUUCUCCUUUGAUUCAUAAAAAUAAAACCUUAUCUUCCCAGCACAUAUACUUUGCAUUCAGCCUCACAUCAAGAAAUGUGAAUGUUUCAUAGCAUGUCACUAUAAUCGAAAAAUCCCAAAAUCAAUAAUUAAAAAUAUGUCACUGUAGCAGAAUAUGAGACUCCUUAUAAGCUGUGCCUUGUCUUUCUUAAUAUGGUGAUAGAGCUACCAUAUAUACACAUAUCAGUAUUUUUUCACCAGUUGAUAAUGUUGAUAAAGUUUUAUUGCAUACCAUCAAUUAUUAAAGGUAUUAAAUUAUUACGUUAUUUUUAGUAAUAAUUUUAACUAACUUUAUUUAACCUUUAGUUAACUUUAUAUAACUCUUACUUUAUGAUAGAGAUACAAUGUAGCAAUUAAUGCUUUUUCACUAAUUUAUAAAGAUUGAUCCUUUUCCUCUUUAUAAAGUAUCAUUUACAUGUGUCAUCUUAUUGCUAACUAUAGGUGUCAUUAAAGUAGCAUUUCAAAAAGGUAGAGAAUUCAGAAUAGGAAAUAUAUUAAUCAUAUCCAUGCUUUCUAAAAUCUUAAAAUAUGUGCUUUUACUUCUGUGAAUGUUUUAGGUAGUACCUUGCCCUAUUUUCAACAUGAUUUUUACAUGUAGAGAAUUCUAGUAACAUUCCCUCUUUGGCUUACAUAUAGAUUUUAAAUGUCACAAUUUCUUUUUCAUUCUACAAAUAUUUGUUAAAUACCAUCUAUGCUUCGAAUGCUGUUGUAUUUAAUGGGAAUAUAACCAGGACCGUUGCAGUCAAAGUGCUUGUCUUCACUCAAAGAACUGUUAAUAUCUACUAUUUUGCCUACCAGCAAAUUUACAGUAUCCUUAAUUCUUCCAAAUGGCAUCAUUACCUUAUUUUCAUGUGGAGAAACCAAAAUGGAGAAAAGGUAAUUGCUUGACAAGAUCACACAUCAAGUAAUGGGGAGAAUCAUGCUUCAGACCCAGGCCAACCCAAGUACAAAGAUCAACUCUUUCCAUAUCCAGUACUGUUGCCUUUCCAGUUUUAAUAUAUCGAUAGUUUUGGGUAUUAGUGGAUUCAAUUACCGUCUACUUCUCUAAUUUCUAGAAUCCAGAUAUCUUAGUCACAGUUGCUGUUCUACAUCCAUUUGAAGAUAAACAAACUGUGGGAGUGGGAGAUUGCAGUAAGAACAGACUUCAGAGUUGCCAUCAUUCAGAUUCUGAUUUUGCUCUUUAAUUUGUUCCGUGAAGCUGGAAUCUCUCGAAUCCACGCGACGACUGUACCUUGAGUUCAGUCCUAUGAUGCUGAGCAAGUCCUGUAACUUUCCAGCAGUUCUGUUUUGCCCCCUGAGAAGCUGUGCUCAUAACAGAUGACAUCUGGACACCAUCCAUGAAGUUGAGCAUAUUCACAUCUGCAGAGCAGACCACACUUUGGGGGAAGACAGUUGCGGCACUCGAUAAAAUUAAUCGUAACAAUGAAUUUUAAAAUUAUUUACUACUAAGAUGGUCACAAAAAAUAUUUGAACAGUAAUUGCCCAAAACAUUGUUUUUGGGCACCUGGGUGGUUGAGUCCGUUAAACAUCGGCCUUCAACUUCAGGUCAUGAUCUCAGGAGCCUGGGAUCAAGCCCCACAUGGGUUCCUUGCUCAGUGGGGAGCCUGCUUCCUCCCUCCUCCCACCCCCUGCUAGUGCUCUCUCUCACUCUCUUCUCUAAAUAAAUAAA